AGGAUAUCACCAAUAUGACUCAAAGGAAGAAAAACAAAUUGUUCUCUUAGAGUUAAAACCAUUUGUGAGACAAUGUUGUUCCCUGUCAAUCAAAUGCUAGCAUGAUGGAUAAGUUCAUGCGCAGAAGUUGAAUGCAGUAUUUGCAUGCUGCAACUCAGCCUGCGACUACAACUCGAGAGCAGACGAACCUUCCUCUAAGUGAAAGUGGCAUUACUAUUUACUCAUCAUCUCUGAAAAGUGGUAGGAAAUUAUGACUGCAGUGAGGGAAAGAUAAUGUUGGUAAUGUGCUCCCCACUAAACCUGACUGUGUCUAAGAUGGUCAUAGUUCCUUCAAAUUUUCAUCAUUUUUAUUAGAGCAGAGAGUGGCAUGAACUAUUUGAUCACAGGUGAAUAGCUGGGAAUCUAACUGAGGAGAAUAGAGAGAACAUCUGAAGCCAAACUGUAUUUACUCCAUGCAGAAAAAGGGAGAACAUUUUAUCCUGGUGAAUUCUGCAACUAACUAUUAUUGGGAAACAGGAAAAAAAGCACAGUGAUAUAGUUUUAACUAGGACCUAACAAAG